CAUGUACUCAUUCCGUUCCAAAAUUUUUGUUUUAGAUUUGUCUACAUACGGAUGUAUCUAUUCACAUUUUAGUGUUAGAUACAUCCGUAUCGAGAUAAAUCUAAGACAAGAAUUUUGGAACGGAGGGAGUAUUAU
rfam:Triticum urartu cultivar G1812 contig81192, whole genome shotgun sequence.